GCAGGUGUAGCUCAGUGGUAGAGCAUAAGAUUGCAAUGAAGACAGUCUUCAGGUCAUCUUGGGGUCCCGUGUUCGAACCACGGCAUCUGCU